rnacentral:hammerhead_ribozyme from 1 species
GCACCGAUGACGAGUCUCAAACAGGACGAAACAGCUGUCCAGUGC